rnacentral:rRNA from 1 species
UCCACAACACACCUGUGAACCCACCGUAGGCCUUCGGGCUUAUGUAUCAUAUACUCUGAAUGUGUCAUAGAAUGUUCAUGUUGCCUUAAAACGCAAUCAAAUACAACUUUCAACAACGGAUCUCUUGGCUCUCGCAUCGAUGAAGAACGCAGCGAAAUGCGAUAAGUAAUGUGAAUUGCAGAUUUUCAGUGAAUCAUCGAAUCUUUGAACGCACCUUGCGCUCCUUGGUAUUCCGAGGAGCAUGCCUGUUUGAGUGUCAUUAAAUUCUCAACCCCACCGAUUUGUUUUGGGGGGAUUGGACUUGGAGUGUGCUGGCGAAGGUCGGCUCCUCUUUAAAUGCAUCAGUGGAGAGAAACUUGCCCCAGUGUGAUAAUCCUGUUGUGCUGUGGUGGGUGAAAGUCUGCUUUCAACUGUCC